UACAGAGGUCUCAAGCGUUGUUCGGAUUCAUUGGGCGUAAAGGGUGCGUAGGUGGCGCUGUAAGUCGGGUGUGAAAUUUCGGAGCUUAACUCCGAAACUGCAUUCGAUACUGCGGUGCUUGAGGACUGGAGAGGAGACUGGAAUUCAUGGUGUAGCAGUGAAAUGCGUAGAGAUCAUGAGGAAGACCAGUGGCGAAGGCGGGUCUCUGGGCCGUAACUGACGCUGAGGAGCGAAAAGCAUGGGGAGCGAACAGG
rnacentral:rRNA from 1 species